UACGAAGGGGGCUAGCGUUGCUCGGAAUCACUGGGCGUAAAGCGCACGUAGGCGGAUCUUUAAGUCAGGGGUGAAAUCCUGGAGCUCAACUCCAGAACUGCCUUUGAUACUGGGGAUCUCGAGUCCGGAAGAGGUGAGUGGAACUCCGAGUGUAGAGGUGAAAUGCGUAGAUAUCGGGAGGAACACCAGUGGCGAAGGCGGCUGUCUGGGCCAGUUCUGACGCUGAGGCGCGAAAGCGUGGGGAGCAAACAGG
rnacentral:rRNA from 1 species